GACGAACGCUGGCGGCGUGCUUAACACAUGCAAGUCGAACGAAGAGCGAUGGAAGCUUGCUUCUGUCAAUCUUAGUGGCGAACGGGUGAGUAACGCGUAAUCAACCUGCCCUUCAGAGGGGUACAACAGUUGGAAACGGCUGCUAAUACCGCAUACGAUCUAAUCUCGGCAUCGAGGAUAGAUGAAAGGUGGCCUCUACAUGUAAGCUAUCACUGAAGGAGGGUAUUGCGUCUGAUUAGCUAGUUGGAGGGGUAACGGCCCACCAAGGGGAUGAUCAGUAGCCGGUCUGAGAGGAUGAACGGCCACAUUGGGACUGAGACACGGCCCAGACUCCUACGGGAGGCAGCAGUGGGGAAUCUUCCGCAAUGGACGAAAGUCUGACGGAGCAACGCCGCGUGAGUGAUGACGGCCUUCGGGUUGUAAAGCUCUGUUAAUCGGGACGAAAGGCCUUCUUGCGAAUAGUGAGAAGGAUUGACGGUACCGGAAUAGAAAGCCACGGCUAACUACGUG
rnacentral:rRNA from 1 species